CCUAGGGGGGCAGCAGUGGGGAAUAUUGCACAAUGGGGGAAACUCUGAUGCAGCGACGCCGCGUGAGUGAAGAAGUAUUUCGGUAUGUAAAGCUCUAUCAGCAGGGAAGAUAGUGACGGUACCUGACUAAGAAGCACCGGCUAAAUACGUGCCAGCAGCCGCGGUAAUACGUAUGGUGCAAGCGUUAUCCGGAUUUACUGGGUGUAAAGGGAGUGUAGGUGGCAUGGCAAGUCAGAAGUGAAAGCCCAGGGCUCAACCCUGGGACUGCUUUUGAAACUGCCGAGCUAGAGUGCAGGAGAGGUAAGUGGAAUUCCUAGUGUAGCGGUGAAAUGCGUAGAUAUUAGGAGGAACACCAGCGGCGAAGGCGGCUUACUGGACUGUAACUGACACUGAGGCUCGAAAGCGUGGGGAGCAAACAGGAUUAGAUACCCCUGUAGUC
rnacentral:rRNA from 1 species